rfam:Mycobacterium sp. E796 contig_323, whole genome shotgun sequence.
GGUGGGAUUGGGAACGAAAUGGUUGACGCGGCCGCCGAUUACGGCCAAAGUGCGCUUGCCCUGAGUGACCAUCUGCACGCCGCGGGUCUUGAAUGCCUU